rnacentral:rRNA from 1 species
UUUCAGGUUUUCCCAGUCAGACGUGUAACCGACGGCCAGUGGAUGUAUACGACUCCACAUAUUCCGGUUGAUCCCGCCGGACCCCACUGCUAUCGGGAUAGGACUAAGACAUGCUAGUCGUGUGCCUCAGCCAAAACGAGGCACGGCGCACAGCUCAGUAACACGUGGCUAACCUGCCCUUAGGACGAGAAUAACCCCGGGAAACUGGGGCUAAUGCUCGAUAGGUGAAGAACUCUGGAAUGAGUCUUCACUUAAAAGAGUCUGCGUUAUGCUCGUAGAUUUCGCUUAAGGAUGGGGCCGCGACCGAUCAGGUUGUUGGUGAGGUAAUGGCUCACCAAGCCUUUUACCGGUGCGGGCCGUGAGAGCGGGAGCCCGGGGAUGGGCACUGAGACAAGGGCCCAGGCCCUACGGGGCGCAGCAGUCGCGAAAACUUUGCAAUACGCGAAAGUGUGACAGGGCUAUCCCGAGUGCCAUCCGCUGAGGAAGGCUUUUACCCAGUCUAGAAAGCUGGGGGAAUAAGGAGAGGGCAAGCCUGGUGUCAGCCGCCGCGGUAAUACCAGCUCUCCGAGUGGUGUGGAUGUUUAUUGGGCCUAAAGCAUCCGUAGCUGGCUAAGUUAGUCCCCUGUUAAAUCCAACGAAUUAAUCGUUGGAUCGCGGGGGAUACUGCUUGGCUAGGGGACGAGAGAGGCAGACGGUAUUUCCGGGGUAGGGGUGAAAUCCUAUAAUCCCGGGAAGACCACCAGUGGCGAAGGCUGUCUGCUAGAACGCGCCCGACGGUGAGGGAUGAAAGCUGGGGGAGCGAACCGGAUUAGAUGCCCGGGUAGUCCCAGCUGUAAACGAUGCAGGCUAGGUGUUUGGACGGCCACGUGCCGUUCUAGUGCCGCAGGGAAGCUGUUAAGCCUGCCGCCUGGGGAGUACGAUCGCAAGAUUGAAACUUAAAGGAAUUGGCGGGGGAGCACCACAAGGGGUGAAGCUUGCGGUUUAAUUGGAUUCAACGCCGGA